GACGAACGCUGGCGGCGUGCUUAACACAUGCAAGUGGUGCGACGAACCAGGGCUUGCCCUGGGGCAAAGCCGCGAACGGGUGAGUAACACGUGAGUAACCUGCCCCGAUGACCGGGACAACCCGAGGAAACUCGGGCUAAUACCGGAUGUGGCGCACAGGCAUCAGCCUGUUCGACUAAAGGAGCUUCGGCCUCCGCAUUGGGAGGGCUCGCGGCCCAUUAGCUUGUUGGUGGGGUAACGGCCUACCAAGGCAACGAUGGGUAGCUGGUCUGAGAGGACGAUCAGCCACACUGGGACUGAGACACGGCCCAGACUCCUACGGGAGGCAGCAGUGGGGAAUCUUGCGCAAUGCGCGAAAGCGUGACGCAGCAAC
rnacentral:rRNA from 1 species